GACGAACGCUGGCGGCGUGCUUAACACAUGCAAGUCGAACGGGCCCGCUCUCUUUUUUGGGGGUGGGUUGAGUGGCGAACGGGUGAGUAUCACGUGAGUAACCUGCCCCCUGCUCCUGGAUAACUGCUUGAAAGGGCGGCUAAUACGGGGUGUGCCGGCUGGUCCGCAUGGGCCUGGUCGGGAUAGUUUCAUCUUCGGGUGUUUCGGUGGGGGAUGGGCUCGCGGCCUAUCAGCUUGUUGGUGGGGUGAUGGCCCACCAAGGCGGUGACGGGUCGCCGGCCUGAGAGGGUGGGCGGCCACACGGGGACUGAGACACGGCCCAGACUCCUGCGGGAGGCAGCAGUGGGGGGUAUUGCACAAUGGGCGGAAGCCUGAUGCAGCGACGUCGCGUGAGGGAUGGAGGCCUUCGGGUUGUGAACCUCUUUCUCCGGUGGUGAAGGCCCUGUCCGUUGCGGCGGGGUUGACGGUAGCCGGGGAUGAAGCGCCGGCUAACUACGUG
rnacentral:rRNA from 1 species